CCAAACCCUAAUCUCCACCGCCAUUUACCCCGCCACACUGCUUUCCCUUUCUUCUAACAUGCAAACACACAGCAACAGAAAUCAGAAGAAAGAAACAAAAAGGGAGAGAGAGAGAUCCUAGAGUGAGGCUGCGAUGGGGAAGAGAGAAGAGAGCAGGGGGAACUGCUGCUGUACCGCCACCGCGUCUUGAUGCUGCCGUCGUCUUCCCAGUGGAGCCGUGCGCGAGAGAGGAAGGCCGAAAGAGUGAUAGAGAUUUGAGAGAGAAGAAGAAGCAACGCUGUCACCCAGCUGCCGUGCCUCCUUACUGCCGUCGAGUCACCCAUUCCCGUCGCUGUUCCGGUGUUGUGGAGCCAUCGCCGCCAUCAUCAUGAGCCACACAUCAUAGCCGUUAGAUCCACGUCGCGCUGCCGUGGCCCGAGCUUCUGCCGCCGCCAAGGAAGCUCGCGAAGGGAGAGAAGGAACCGCGAGCUAGAGGAGCCGUUGUCGUUGCCGUUGUUGCCGCCGCUGCCACCGUGACCGCGGGUGGAGUCCGCCGUUGAGCUGUGUGCCGCUAAUGGUGGUGAACUAAACGUUGCCCUUGAUGCUGGAAAAGAACACCGGAGUUGCUAUUUUGGUUUCGAUUCCUCCAUUUUUGAAACUGAUAACUUUUUCAUACUGGUAAAGACAACAGGAGUUGACUAGUUGCUGCGGCACCGUUUAUAACAACUUCGAAUGUUCUUUCCUUUUUGAUAAGAGACUUUAUCCGAUAUUACAUGACAAAGGAAUCAUGGAAAGACCACGUUAGUAUCACUAACGUGACCACUAACGUGGAAAGGGAGCAAGCUUGCAACGUUAGUGGUAAAGUUAUCACCACUAACGUUGCAAAAUGCCACACAUCACCACGUUAAGGGCCACAUUAAUGUAAUUAAUGUGAACUCUAAUGUGGAGCAAAAAGAGACGCCAACGUUAAUGACACUAACUUUGUCACUAACGUUAGACCAGGCCAAUAUUACCUACAUUAGUGGCCACGUUAAUGCCACUAACGUGAAGGAUAACGUGGAGCAAGGCAUGAAGAUGCCAAUGUUAGUGACUCUAACUUUGUCACUAACGUUGGAGAUGGCGAAGUACACCCACUUUAGUGGCCACGUUAAUGCAAUUAACGUGAGCACUAACGUGGAAGAGAAAGAGUUUUGUAGCGUUAGUGACAAAGUUAGUGUCACUAACGCCUUCGUGUCAUGGCAUGCCUACGUUAAUGGUCAUGUUAGUUACACUAACGUGGACCAUUAACGUGGGAGAAAGGGCAAGAAGGUAGCAUUAUUGGCAAAGUUAGCGCCAAUAACGCUGGUGAAGGAUGGAAAGGCUACGUUAGUGGUCACAUUAGUGCCACUAACGUUGGAGUUAACGUGGCUCAAGUAGGUUGGGACGUUAGUGACAAAGUCAGUGUCACUAACAUCUUCGAACCAGAAUUCACACUUAACGUUAACACCACUAACGUCCUGACUAACUACAUACCAUGCCUGACUCACCCUCUUUUUGCAAGCAAAGAUGAGCCCACUGCGGACUGUAACUGCUUCAACUAAAGAUCAAAGGCCCAAAUCCAAGACAUGGAGAGCUAACUAGAAGAUUAGAAGAGUAGUAUAUAUAGGAGUAGUUUUGAACUAGAAAGGAGGUUGGCAUUAU